UACGAAGGGGGCUAGCGUUGCUCGGAAUUACUGGGCGUAAAGGGCGUGUAGGCGGUCAGGUAAGUGGGAUGUGAAAUGCCCCGGCUCACCCGGGGACCGGCAUCCCAUACUGCUUGGCUUGAGUACGGGAGAGGAUGUGGGAAUUCCUGGUGUAGCGGUGAAAUGCGUAGAUAUCAGGAGGAACACCGGUGGCGAAGGCGCACAUCUGGCCCGAUACUGACGCUGAGGCGCGAAAGCUAGGGGAGCAAACGGG
rnacentral:rRNA from 1 species